CUACUACUCUCUCCGUCCGAAAAUACUUGUCAUUGAAAUGGAUGUAUUUUAGUUUUAAGAUACAUCCAUUUUGAUGACAGGUAUUUUCGGACGGAGGGAGUAGCAG
rnacentral:pre_miRNA from 1 species